GACGAACGCUGGCGGCGUGCUUAACACAUGCAAGUCGAACGGAAAGGCCCUGCUUUUGUGGGGUGCUCGAGUGGCGAACGGGUGAGUAACACGUGAGUAACCUGCCCUUGACUUUGGGAUAACUUCAGGAAACUGGGGCUAAUACCGGAUAGGAGCUCCUGCUGCAUGGUGGGGGUUGGAAAGUUUCGGCGGUUGGGGAUGGACUCGCGGCUUAUCAGCUUGUUGGUGGGGUAGUGGCUUACCAAGGCUUUGACGGGUAGCCGGCCUGGGAGGGUGACCGGCCACAUUGGGACUGAGAUACGGCCCAGACUGCUACGGGAGGCAGCAGUGGGGAAUAUUGCACAAUGGGCGGACGCCUGAUGCAGCGACGCCGCGUGCGGGAUGACGGCCUUCGGGUUGUAAACCGCUUUCGCCUGUGACGAAGCGUGAGUGACGGUAAUGUGUAAAGAAGCACCGGCUAACUACGUG
rnacentral:rRNA from 1 species